AUCGGAUAAAACUAGAAGAGGGAGAAGAGAGAGGGUUUGAACCCUCCUUAUGUCUCUACAAAAACUCUUCAAACCCCUACCCUCUCUCUCCAUCAGACCCCAAAUCCCAAACCCUUCUCUCUCUCUUUUUCAUCUCUCUGCAAAAACUCUUCAAAACCCUCACUCUCUCUCUCUCUCUCUCUCUCCAUCAGACCCCAAAUCCCAAUCCCAAACCCAAACCCCAACCGGCAUAACAACGAGUGAGAAGGAGAAGAUGGACAAAGAAAAUACACACAGACAGAGCUCUGAGCUAAAAGAAAAGAACGAAGAAAGAGAAGUAACGACGGAGAGAAAAGACGGCCGAAAGGAGAUGGAAGGGACGAACGCACGCAAAGAACACUUCCAUCCUUUAACCAGGACUGCAUAAAGGUUUUACAAAAGAAAUUCUCUGAGAGCAAGAGGGUUGCAUGGUGGUGAGGAAAAACUGAGUAUGGCAUUUGGUGCUGAAUUGGAAAAGCUUCCAAAUGUGAGGUGAUAUUUUUUUUUUUCAUGUUUAUAUGUAAUUUAGAAUGAAUAAUCAUUUCAAUGCCUGUUUUCCACACAUCCUAGAAGAAAAACAGAGGAAAAGAAACAAAGCCCUAAGCAGCUUGUUAUGUCCACUAUUUCUUUUCAUGUUUAUAUGGAAUUUAGAAUGAAUUUAUAGUGGCCUAAGUUCCAAUUAAAGGAAGAUGAAGAAACCUCUAGAAAUGAUCCUAUAGGGGAUACCAUGAAGGUGAUAAGAGACCCAAAAGGUGAAGGAUUGUUCAAAACCCAAGUGUUGUUUUUAUGUUUUUGUACAUUGAAGGUUGUGUUAUGAUGCCCUCAUUUUCACUUUCACAUUUGAACUUUUUGUUGUUAAAUUUCAAUUUUGUGUUGCACUGGUUGACUAAUUUAUACAUCAAAAUCUUACUUAAAGGGCAUCGAACAACUGACAUUACAAUCAAUUAGCAAGGUUAGCAUCACCACAUCACGCCAAAAUACUCACAAUACAAACUUAAUGGUUUGUUUGAAGAUUCUUAUUCAUUUCCCUCUAGAAACGUUGCAACAAAAGAGGUAACUUCAUUAAAGGUAACUUCAUUUGAGGUAAGAAAAAAAAAAAGGUUUUGCUUUAUGUGGAUUUUAUUUGCAUAUACGUUGAGACUAUUGAGAUCUUGAAUUUUUGCUAAUUUUUCAUUAUGACAUUGCUUUUAUGGGGCCAUUGGAUUAUCUUAUUAAUUUUGGAAAUAUUUUGUUGAUGUUUUAAAAUUUGUUGAUCAUUUCUUAAUACCUAACGAUAUAUUUUUGUCCCUGAGUCAUUAGUUUUUGUACUUAUGUGAAGUUUCCUUUGUCAUGCAGAUAAGAAAUGCAAGAGGAUUAGUUGCUCCAGCUAUUGCUGUGGGUUUAGGUGCCUUAACACAUAUAUUGGCACCCUCAUCCCUGUGAUAGAAGCAAGUGGAUUUGCUACAGUUAUAGCUGUAAUUGCUAUAGGAACUAUUGUUGGUAGUUUUAGAUAAUCUCUUAAUAGUUGUUGAUAUGUUCAGAAAGUUAGAUAUGUAUAGUUUUGGAUGGUUAAAACUUUUUGCACAGUUUAGAACUUAAGGAUAUAGUUUUUAAAUGUUUAGAAUGUAUAGACAAUUGUUGAAUGUUUAUAAUUUAUGGAUAUAAUUUCUUUUUGAUGUUUCAAA